rnacentral:miRNA from 1 species
AUUCGAAUUACCUGGGGAUCUUGUUAAAACACAGAUUCUUAUUCAUUUAGUCUAGAGUGAGGGUUGAAAUUCUCCAUUUCUAACAAGUUCUCAGGGGAUGCUUAU